UACGAAGGGGGCUAGCGUUGUUCGGAAUUACUGGGCGUAAAGCGCACGUAGGCGGAUCGAUCAGUCAGGGGUGAAAUCCCAGGGCUCAACCCUGGAACUGCCUUUGAUACUGGCGAUCUCGAGUCCGGGAGAGGUGAGUGGAACUGCGAGUGUAGAGGUGAAAUUCGUAGAUAUUCGCAAGAACACCAGUGGCGAAGGCGGCUCACUGGCCCGGUACUGACGCUGAGGUGCGAAAGCGUGGGGAGCAAACAGG
rnacentral:rRNA from 1 species